GGGCCCGUAGCUCAGCCAGGACAGAGCGCCGGCCUCCUAAGCCGGUGGUCAGGGGUUCGAAUCCCCUCGGGCCCGCCA
rnacentral:tRNA from 1 species